rfam:Pichia sorbitophila strain CBS 7064 chromosome M complete sequence.
GCUCCACUAGCUCAGUAGGCAGAGCGUCAGUCUCAUAACUUCUCAGUUUGUGUUAUCUGAAGGUCGACAGUUCGAACCUGCCGUGGAGCA